GAUGAAGAACGUAGCGAAAUGCGAUACUUGGUGUGAAUUGCAGAAUCCCGUGAACCAUCGAGUCUUUGAACGCAAGUUGCGCCCGAAGCCAUUAGGCCGAGGGCACGCCUGCCUGGGUGUCACACACCGUUACCCUCGCGCCAACGUCCAUCGUUGGCCGCGGCGCGGGGCGUGCGCUGACCUCCCGCGAGCGGGGUCUCGUGGUUGGUUGAAAAUCGAGUUCGCGGUCGAGGGUGCCGUGAUGAAAUGGUGGAUGGGCGACGCCCGAGGCCAAUCACGCGCGACUCUGUCCGGCUCGNANUCCUGGACCCCUUCGGCGUCUCCGGACGCUCUUUGGCGAGACCUCAGGUCAGGCGGGGCUACCCGCUGAGUUUAAGCAUAUCAAUAAGCGGAGGA
rnacentral:misc_RNA from 1 species